AUGCAAACCAAAGUGAUAAGGUACAUGAAAAUCCACACGCUUCAUGAUUUAGUCGCCACAUGCCUGUCCUCUAAAUUCAAGGGAAGUUGCUGUGGGGUGCGCAAACAUCAGUUCUGCCACACCAAAAUGAGAUCACUAACUCUACAGCCACAGCUAAACAACAUAUUUACAAAGCACUAUCUCUACCAUCUUCAUCUAGGUUUGAAACAGGUAGAUAGUAGUUCAGCUACCAAGCCUUCAUGGAAGGUGAAACAGUCUAGCAUUCCUAAACGGAUUCAUGCAGUGUUUAGUUUUAUUCACAAGAGACACAAGAACAAGUAUUUAUUUGUGAUAGUAGUAGUAUGUGAAGAUGCACCAUCCUCCUGGAAGGGGAUUGGAGCAUCAGUGCUCAUUCAUCCAUUCACCACUACUCUGGGUGCAAAACUGCAUCCGUUACCAUGUAUUGUAAGUCCUAAAGCUAAGAAUUGCCCUGCUCUCUGGAUCCAGUGGAACAGAAUCCAAUAUUUCCAGGUCUCCAUCAGUGGAGACGAGCUGACAAACACUUUUCUCACAGACCCUGGUGGGGGUCAUUUUGCUGAAGGAGGCUGUCAGUGAUUUAUAGUCAGCAUUAAAAUGAAAAUGCUAAAAUAACUUGACUUUUACUGCAGCAAUUUGACCACUGCAGAAAAACUGUGUCUUCAUUGAGAUUCCUUCACUGUUAAAAAGAUUGGGGUUCUUUUAUUUUUACUGAUCAGGACUGGUGCAAAGUGGAUAUUUUGGCAGGAGGGCAGGGUGGUUAAACUGGGGUCUUCUACUACUCACAUCACAAAAGGUGAGUCUAGCACUUCCCUUAUUCAUUUCUGUGAGCUACCCUGUUAUUCCUGGUUGGAAUCAAGAAUUUAGCUUGGCUUUGACUUUAUUCAGCUUCUGACAUUAGAGGGAAUAUAAAAACGAAAUUAAAAACCAGCUGCUCUUAUAAUCUCCAGAGUGGAUUAUCCAGGUUGCCAGCUGCUUAUGCUGUGAGGGUACCCAGAGGAGUGGCUGGCUGUAGGCAUUCACAAACAUGGACAUGAUAGUAUAGAGAUCUUUCUGCAGAAGAGGUCUUUACCCAUUUCAUAAUCUUCAGGACGUACAACAUAUAAAAACAGUGGAAAAACCACUAGUGUCCCAUCUUGUGUUAAGUAAAUUUGCUUCUAAUCUUGAUGUCAGUUGUAGACUGCUCUAUCUGGCAUCCAGUAUACCUGUUGCAUCUAUGGGAGUGGGAAUAGCAGUGUCCUGAUUCUUAUGAAUGCCAGGUGAUAGUUGUCAUGUUCUCAGGAUUUUAUUUUUUAUUUUUUACAUGUCAGGAAGACUGCACAAAACAAGCACUGCAUCUGGGCACUUCAUCCCUCCCACCACAGCUGAUGUUUCUAUUCCACUCUUGAGGUACCUGCAGUCAUUCCUGUCUGUCUGUGAGUACACAGCUAAAUGGAAUAGCAGCAGCUAGGACAGUGCCUUUCACACCCAAACCUGUUCACAAGCACAGCCAUUCACACUUUCCAAAUGCAAUCACAUAAGCCAACAUGUAGCAAAAAUUAUAAGCAAACUCACACAGAUGUAGGUUACUUAUUAGAACCUAGUAGCCUUAGUAUUAUUAUGACCUAGUAGAAAAUAGAUGAUGUGCCAAAACAAUAAUUUAGCACAGCAGACUUUAGUUAUUAGUCAUUACAGAACAUAUUUAAAUCAUAAAAUCACAGAAUCAUAGAAUAGUUUGAGUUGGAUGGGACCUUUAAAGGUCAUCUAGUCCAACUUUCCUGCAAUGAGAAAUGAGGUCUCCCACUUGAUCAGGUUGCUUACAGCCCUGUCCAACUCACCCUAGAAUGUUUCCAGAGACAGGGCAAAGUAAAACAGAACCCAAACCAAACUUGCAUAUGUGAGCACACACACAAAAUAGCAUGCUGCUCAAAGUGCAAUGAGACACAAUUAGGAAGCCACUAAAAAGAAUGUGUCUCAAGCUAUUAUUUACUAAAAUUACAACAGCCAGAAAAGAUCCCAGAAUCACAGAAUUACAGAAUUUUUUGGGUUGAAAGGGAUGUCUGGAGAUCAUCCAGUCUAACCCCACUGCCAAGGCAGGGUCACCUAAAGCAGGUGACACAAGAACACAUCAAGGGGGUUUGGAAUGUCUCCAGACUCCAAUGACCUCCUUGGAGACUCCAUGAUCUCCCUGGGCAGCCUGUUCCAGUGCUCUGCCACCCUCAAUGUAAAGAAGCUCUUCAUAUUGAGGUGGAUGCAAGACACAAAUGAACAUCUCUGGAGACUUUUUCUCAGGCACAUUGCUAUACACACCAGUGAUGAUUACACAGCAGUAUAAUUUUUUACCCUUGGUGACAAUAAGGCCCUAGGUAAUGUACCUCCCUUUUGACUCAGUGCUGCAGAUCCAGUGUCUGUGGAGCAAAAAGCAGAAGUGCUCUUGGGAUCCCUUCCUCCUCCACUGGACACCUGCAGGCCCAUUUGGGUUUAACUCUGGGCACCAAAUGGCACCUUCAGUGACUGCAGAGACUUGCUCAGUCCAACCUCCUCUGAUUGUCCUUCCCUCAAAUUCAGCCCCUACUGCAGGAGCUGCUCCAAGGAUGAAACAGUGGGACAAUUUACAGACAAGACUCUACAGUGUGGCCACCAUUAUCCAUGAAUGGAAGUUAAACACCUUGAUUGUGUUAGCACAUUGCCUGGAUGCACAAGCCAGAGGCUGCUGAGGGGUCCCCUCCUGAACUCAUGCCUAAAUUCUCAAGGUGGGGGAAAUAUGUCCAGCUCUUCUAUCCUCCCAUGCAUUUCUAUUUCUGACAGAGCACCGUACAGAUGAAGCUGGUGGAUGUGCUCAGCAGAGGACCCAUUUUCCUAGAGCUCCUGGAGGAUUUGUGGUUGACUCAGCACAACACACUCCAACACUGGGCUGAUCUUCAUGGCACUAAGCUCUUAAUUACUACUCAGAUGUAUAUAUCAACACGUAAUAAAUCCUCUUAAUUCAACUGAGGAACAAAGCAGAAAAGACUGUAGUCACACUAUUAUUUUAGUAUAGUUAAUAAGAUUCAAAAUUACUUGCAAUUUAUCCAUGUAAAAUCUACUAAGGGGAAAACCAAACCUUGAUCCAAUUCUACAAUAAUGGCACUAGAGAGCAUAAUGAGAUCCUGUAAUUCCAGAGUGGUUUGCUGCAUUUUAGCCUGAUCAUUGAGUUGUUUUCUGUACAAAAAUCUACAAUAUCUUGAAGACAGUCAGAACAGGAGUGAGAACCCCAACCCUAACAGAAAGGCAACGUUUCUGUUAAUUUUGACCAGGCAAUGUAAAUGGUGUCCUAAAACAAGCAGCCCAGCUUCUACCUAAAAGUCAUAUGCUCAUUUUCUUGCUUUGAGAUUGCUCAGUCUUUCCCCAAAGAAACUUACAUUUCUGCUUGUUAAUGUUUACUUUAGUUAAGACUACAGAGGAGGACUCGAAGGUGGCUCUACAUUGUAUUAAAGUUACAUGGUAUAUCAGUAUAUGAUAGCAGUAUUUGCCACCUCUGGUGCAACACAUCCGUAUUACUAAGAGGUCACAGCUCUAAGAAGCCCAGUUCAUUUACAGGAGCAGUCUUAAGGGAUGUACUAUGAUGAUUUUAAAACAUUGGAUCAAACUGGCUGUAGGGAGUGUGAUGGCCAUGAUGUCCCAUUAAUGGGCCCCUUUUUGUUUCAAAAGGAACACUAUCCAGAAAGGACAAAGGUGUGAGAAGCAAUUCAUUGCAUGGUGAUGAAUAAUACUGUUUUGUCCUUAUGUUGAUCCCUUUUUAAAAAAGACAGAACUUAAAUAUAUAAACAUAUGAAAUGUAUAGAUAAAUAUAUAGAGAUAUCUAAUGUUAAUAUGUGGUUUGAUCAGAACUGGAUUAAGCAAAGACCAUGUAAAGACACCACAACAUCAUGAUUAAAUAAAAUACUCAUUACAAUUUGCAUUUAUGUAGUUCUGAAACCAAGCAGUAAGAAAGCCAUAUACAGCAGUGAGUAAGUCUCAUUAUUUUAACUUCAGAGCUUUGGCAACUUAGAGUCACUUAAUGAUAAGCCAUAGUAAAAAAAAUUCAGGUGAUGAAUUCAGCAGUUCUGACUCCAGGUUUUUUUUACAUAGUUAAGAAUCCAAAAGGCUUGGGAGCAAGACAAGAAAACUUCAGAAAUACAGAGGAUUUUUACUUGUUCACCUCUUUGCCAGCGGUCCUAAUCAGUUAAAUUAGCAUUAAACAGAUUAGCUAGUAUAAAAUCACCCUGUGUUAAAAUAACUCUAAAUUAUACUUGCAUUUUGGAGAACAGGGUCUGCAUGGGUACAAGUGAAUAGUGCCUUGUUCUCUUACUUGUUUAAUUAAUCCAAGUGUAUUUACAGCGAGCAGUAAUUCAUCAGGCUAAAAAAUCCUGAAAUGUACCAUAUCACAGUUGCAGCAAAUUCACCCAUACACAAGGAAAGCCUCAUUUCUCCCUUCCACUGGUGUUACAUUAACAUGGCUUUAACUCUGGUUGAGCUUAUCCUUAACUCAUUUUAGUGUGACAGGAAAAACAAACUUCAAACCUUCUACAGAAGGCAGCUUUAAAUUUGCUGCAAUUUUUUUGUUUUUUUUUUAAUUAUUUCACUACAGUGUCAAAUGAACUUUGGCUAGAGAUAUAACAUAGUGACAGAUUUCCUUCUGGGCUCAGAUGAGAAACAGUUAAUUUUACAUGAUGAUUUAAACUUUAAGGAGCCUUUGAUAAGUAAAUGAGGAUAUAAGACUAGAUAAAGAAAAGUUCAUUAUGAAACCAAGCUAAUGUAGCACUUGCAGGCAUGGAGAAGACGCUGCUCCAGAAGAAAGGCAUUCCUGCAACCUGGAGAAAUACUUUCCUUCUUUUAACAGCUGAAUAGAGAAGAAGCAGAUCCGCAAUGCUGGGACUUGUCCUGCAACUGAAGUGCUGUUGGUCCAUUUAGUAGAAGUCUCAGUCAUGGCAGGGGGGUAAAGCACCGAGACUGCUGAUAUUUUCAAAUCUCUUAGCAGCAGUAACCACACAGCAGCUUUUCUGCACAAUAAACCAAACAAGAAUCCAGUUAAUUCAGCAGUAUGUUUUUUUCACUUGGUUAAGUGUUCUGGGAUGACCACAUGGUGGUUUCUUUGUGCAUAAAGAAAAGAAAGCAGCACUGUAGCUUCUUGCUUACAAAGGAU
rnacentral:lncRNA from 1 species